rnacentral:lncRNA from 8 species
AUGGAAGGCAAAGUAUGUGGACACCCUGUUGCUGACAGGUGCAUACAAUCGAGCACACAGCCAUCCAAUCUCCACAGACGAACACUGGCAGUAGAACGGCCCGCACUGACGAGCCCAUUGAAGAGCACAAACCAAGUGUGGCAAACAGUGGAACUGAGAGUAAGUUAUGUUAAGCUGUUGAGUAAUCAGGUUAUCAUCUCUCCUGUCACCUUCUUGAACAGAAGUAGUUGUCAUGUCACACAAACAUGUUUAGUUUCUGUUCCUGAUUUCUUCCUUACCACACACAAGACAUACUCCAAAAAUGUAAUUCUCAUCAUUUUUGUCUUCCCUAUUUUUCUUCUCUUAUCGUUAUUCUCAUCAGCACCACCCACCACAUGCCUUGUGGCAUAUUGCACAAGAGAGAGUCACAGAUCCCCUUUCAUAUUUACAUGGUUCUUAGAGCAACUGGUCUCACAUCCACACUGUCCUCUGGCCAAACAUGAAGUCCUCUCUGGUGUUCACAUUGAUGUUGACUGGGCUUGUCUCCAUCCUCCCUCAGUCUUCGCCCAGUGACUGUGUGUGUGACCUGAAGAACUCUGAGCACCCCUUUCCUCAUGACAAGCUGCAGACUGUAGAGAACAGUGCCUCAAAGUGCACUAAAAACAUCACUCCACAGCAGGUAAGAGACAUGCUUCGGAAAUCCUAUUUCUAAAUUCCCACUUUCUCUAAAACAAUUACCACAAAUAGUGAGAAACAGAUCUCUGAUAUUUCAUUGUGAAUCAAAUAAGAAGCAGCAGAUAUUUCACAUUUCAUUGUGUAUAAAAGUAAAUAAAGUAAUAGCAGAUGUUCCCUACAAAAGGGUCAUUCUGCUGUCCCCAAAGAAGAAGCCUUUUUGCUUCCAGGUAAAACCAGUUUUGAUUCCAGGUAGAACUAUUUUUGGUUCCAGGUAGAACCAUUGUGGGUUCCAUGCUAUGGAAAGGGUUCUACAUGAAACCCAAAACAGUUCUACUUGGAACCAAAAGGGUUCUAUCUGGAACUAUCAAGGGUUCUUCAAAGGGUUCUUCUCUAGGGACAGCCAAAGAACCCUUUUAGAUUCUACAUAGUACCUUUUUUUCCAAAGAGUGUAUCUCCUGUUCACCUGUAGGCUAUGGAGGUGGAGGGUCUGUUGCUGGGUCUGAAGAGGCGUCUACCCCAGCUGGAAGCUGAUGUGUCAGUGCUGGAGCAGGAGGACGAUGGGGAUCUGUAUGGGACGGUGUCUCUUCAGGUCAUAGAGAACGAACUGUCUCUGAUCCAGAACCUCAUCGCCAAACUCAACAGUACCACUCACAGCCACCAACGCCUCAACACAGACACUGCUGAACAGGUAAGGAGCCUUACUGGAGCUCAAACUCUAUUUUACUCAAGAAGUUGCUUAAAAUACUUUACCUUAGCAAUGGUCAUGCCACAUCUGAUUAAAAAUGCAUUAUAGUUACAUUAUAUACUGUAUGAACAUGUAUGACUACCAUAUACAGAAUCAGUUUAGAGGUGUUGUAAAGAAGCUUCAAUUUUUUUGGGUAAAUUUUAUUUCACCUUUAUUUAACCAGGUAGGCUAGUUGAGAACAAGUUCUCAUUUGCAACUGCGAUCUGGCCAAGAUAAAGCGUUACACAUGGAAUAAACAAAACAUACAGUCAAUAAUACAGUAGAACAAAAGAAAACAAAAGUCUAUAUAUAGUGAGUGCAAAUGAGGUAAGUUAAGGCAAUAAAUAGGCCAUGGUGGCGAAGUAAUUACAAUAUAGCAAUUAAACACUGGAAUGGUAGAUGUGCAGAAGAUGAAUGUGCAAGUAGAGAUACUGGGGUGCAAAGGAGCAAGAUAAAUAAAUAAAUACAGUAUGGGGAUGAAGUAGGUAGAUAGAUGGGCUGUUUACAGAUGGGCUAUGUACAGGUGCAGUGAUCUGUGAGCUGCUCUGACAGCUGGUGCUUAAAGCUUGUGAGGGAGAUAUGAGUCUCCAGCUUCAGAGAUUUUUGCAGUUCGUUCCAGUCAUUGGCAGCAGAGAACUGGAAGGAAAGGUGGCCAAAGGAGGAAUUGGCUUUGGGGGUGAUCAGUGAGAUAUACCUGCUGGAGCGCAUGCUACGAGUGGGUGCUGCUAUGGUGACCAGUGAGCUGAGAUAAGGCGGGGCUUUACCAAGCAGAGACUUGUAGAUAACCUGUAGCCAGUGGGUUUGGUGACGAGUAUGAAGCAAGAGCCAACCAACGAGGGUGUACAGGUCGCAAUGGUGGGUAGUGUAUGGGGCUUUGGUGACAAAACGGAUGGCACUGUGAUAGACUGCAUCCAGUUUGUUGAGUAGAGUGUUGGAGGCUAUUUUAUAGAUGACAUCACCGAAGUCGAGGAUCGGUAGGAUGGUCAGUUUUACGAGGGUGUGUUUGGCAGCAUGAGUGAAGGAUGCUUUGUUGCGAUAUAGGAAGCCGAUUCUAGAUUUAAUUUUAGAUUGGAGAUGCUUAAUGUGAGUCUGGAAGGAGAGUUUACAGUCUAACCAGACACGUAGGUAUUUGUAGUUGUCCAUGACCUGGCCAAGGCUUUCGACUCUGUCAAUCACCACAUUCUUAUUCUUAAACUAAAUGCAUGCUAUUCAAUCGAUCACUGCCUGCACCUGCUUGCCCGUUCAGCAUCACUACUCUGGACGGCUCUGACUUAGAAGCCAUCCAGAGUAGUGAUGCUGGACGGGCAAGCAGGUGCGGGCAGUGAUCGAUUGAAUAGCAUGCAUUUAGUUUUACCUGCGUUUAAGAGCAGUUGGAGGCCACGGAAGGAGAGUUGUAUGGAAUUGAAGUUCGUCUAGAGGUUAGUUAACACAGUGUCCAAAGAGGAGCCAGAAGUAUACAGAAUGGUGUCGUCUGCGUAGAGGUGGAUCAGAGAAUCACCAGCAGCAAGAGCAACAUCAUUGAUGCAAACAGAGAAGAGAGUCGGCCUGAGAAUUGAACCCUGUGUCACACCCAUAGAGACUGCCAGAGGUCCGGACAACAGGCCCUCCGAUUUGACACACGGAACUCUAUCAGAGAAGUAGUUGGUAAACCUGGCGAGGCAAUCAUUUGAGAAACCAAGGCUGUUGAGUCUGCCAAUAAGAAUGUGGUGAUUGACAGAGUCGAAAGCCUUGGCCAGGUCGAUGAAUACGGCUGCACAGUAAUGUCUCUUAUCGAUGGCGGUUAUGAUGUCGUUUAGGACCUUGAGCGUGGCUGAGGUGCACCCAUGACCAGCUCGGAAACCAGAUUGCAUAGCGGCGAAGGUACGGUGGAAUUUGAAAUGGUCGGUAAUCUGUUUGUUAACUUGGCUUUCAAAGACCUUAGAAAGACAGGGGAGGAUAGAUAUAGGUCUGUAGCAGUUUGGGUCUAGAGUGUCACCGCCUUUGAAGAGGGGG